AAUUUUUAACCUUGCUGAUGUGCUCAUUGAUAUAAGUGUGGUGUUGAUGAUUUAUCAAAUGUUACAAGAAAAAAGAAAUGGUGGCCACGACUGGACUUGAACCAGCGACCACUACCA
rnacentral:antisense_RNA from 1 species